GCGAGUACCUCAGACUCAGAAAUGGCAAAGUAUUUCAAAGAGAUAUGGCAUUUUUAUGGCAUUUUCUUUUUUUUCUUUAAUGACAAAGGACCAGGAUUCACACUGAAAGUUAACUAAUGCACAGAUCAGGAUUACAUUUUUUUUUUCCUUUUCUUUUUUAAGAAAGCUAAGGCUGUUCUUAUUAGCCGGUGAUCGGCAAUAGCCCAGCGAUAUUAACAAUCAGAGGUGAACGCUGUCUGGGGACGCCCAAAAAUAUGAAAAUGAAGCUUUCACAAGAGGGCGCAAGAACUUUACCUUUCGCUCAAGUCACAUUCAUGAAAACUACACAACCUCUAGAGCAACCUAGUGCACACGAAAAUAACAAAUAAAACAAAACACAUGAUUGGCAUGGUCAAAAAAAGCUGCUCUUCCAUCCUGGUCUAGUUUCAGCAUUUUACAUGACUCUUCUUGUUUUCACAUGGUUUUAUAACAGGAUUAAAAGUUUUACUAAUCAGAAACAUAUCAUCUAAACAGAAAAACAGGCGGGAAAAAGAUCUAGAAGAUGGAACUAUCAGAUAAAAGGAACAGAAGAAGAAGAAAAAAAAAUAAAAGAGUUAAAUAAUUUGUACAAUUACACUCCAACAUUUGCUUUCUAGACACAUGAUACAUAAGCGUAGGAUGAUAGUGUUUUGUGUUUUCUCUUACAGGGUGACACAGAAUGGUCCGAGAAGGAAUGCAAGUUAUUCAUUUGAUACCACAGGAAAUCUUCUUUUUUCUCUUUUUUUUCUUUUUUUUAAGCUGGGUGAUAAAACAAAUUGUGCUCUUCUUGGUGUAGGAAAGGCAUUGUUUUCCCUUAGAAGUUUUAUUUCUUUUCAUGGUGGUGUCAGUCAGUUUUAUAAGGUGUUUUGUUGUUGACGAUGCUGUGAAAUUUAACAUUCUAAAGUUGGAAUGGUCUUCCAGUCAACUUUGGAGCUCAAAUGAUAUCUGCGGACAGAUAAAGAGAGACCAAAAUGAUAAAGCAGAUAUUAAUAGAAUGACUCAUUUAGAUCAGACUCAAAUAUAAUCAAAUCAAAUAAUCAAACUCUAUAUAAUCCUGUCAUAAAUACACAAGUUAAAACGUAACGUUUCCAUUAUACUGCAAGAAAUGAACAAGCAAAACUAUUCAUUUAGAAAUAAAUGUUUGGAUAACAGAUACUCUUAUUUGUAAAUUUAAUUCUGUGAAUCUACACCAUAAAAAAAACAAAAAAACUUGUUGAAAAUCAAAUAGUUAUUGAAGUAUGUCUUUCUACUUAAUGUCAUGUGUAAUAAAAAAUUUUUUUGCAGCUCAUUGAAAUUAUUUGUACAAUUUAUCAACAAUUCCUGAGGGAAGUAGUAAACCCGUUAGUAAACCUAAAACUAAAAUAACUAAGAAAAACAAAAUAUUAUGAUUGUUCAUAAUUCAGCACCAUACCAACUACCAGUUAUAUUGAUAAGAGACAAGUGAAAUAUCAAAUAAAAAAAGUAUCAAUUAAAAUGUAAUUAUAUUACAAAAUGUAUAUUUAUAUAUCAAAUUUAAUCAUAACAUUUCAUUUAAAUUUUUUUUUUUUUUUUAUCUAUCUAUAUUUGUGACCCUGGACCACAAAACCAGUCAUAAGGGUAAAUUUUUCUAAAUUGAGAUUUACACAUCAUCUGAAAGCUGAAUAAAUAAGCUCAUUGAUGUAUUUUUUAUGAUAGGGCAAUAUUUGGCCAAGAUACAACUAUUUGAAAAUCUGGAAUCUGAAAGUGCAAAAAACAAGAAAAAUCAUUUAAAUAAAUGUUUUACAAUCAUAUUUUAAAUGAAUUUUGAUUAACAAAAAAAACAAAAACAAAAAAACAAACCUUAAGCUGAAAAUCAAAUAGUUACUGAAGUAUGUCUUUCUACUUAAUGUCAUGUGUAAUCAAUUUUUUUGCAGCUUCUUUGAAAUUAUUUGUACAAUUUAUCAACAAUACCUGAAUGAAGUAGUAAACCUGUAAGUAAACCUAAAACUAAAAUAACUAAGAAAAACAAUAAAAUAUUAUGAUUGAUUGUUCAUAAUUCAGCACCAUACAAACUACCACAGUUAUAAUGAUGGUAAGAGACAAGUGAAAUAUAAAAUAAAAAAAGUAUCAAUUAAAAUGUAAUUACCGUAUUUUCUGGACUACAAGUCACACUUUUUUUCAUAGUUNUAUAUACACACACACAUAAACAUUAGGGAUGGGACGGUUGAACCGUUCGGUUCUCCACACACGGUUCGGCACGCGCUAGGACCGCGGUUUAACUUAAAUCUGAAAACGCAUC
rnacentral:lncRNA from 12 species